rnacentral:lncRNA from 1 species
AAGACUUUGGAAUUUUGGGGAUGGAUUUGGGCAUUGUUUUGCUAAUUUCGUUCUCUGUUUUGCAUUUGGUUUAGACACAAGCAGCAUUCCAAAACAACACAGAACAAUUAAGAGAAAAUCACCAAGCUCCAAGAGGAAAUGAAAUGGAGUGGCGAAUGAAACAUAGAAACUGAACUGUCCACAUUAAAAAGCUCACAUCGAGAUGCUGAGGAACAGCUUGAGAGACACGCACAAGUCUAUUUUAAGGAACUAAAAGCCAAUGAAUCAUUAUCCAAGGAAUUAGAUAGAGCUAACAGGAGACUACUGAAGGUGAGUGCCAAACUCCGAAAUGAAAGGCAGAGGGAUGAAACUUUAAGGGCCAGUUUUACUGCAAGUCCCAUUCUGGAGCCACCUCCUACUGAGCCUCCUAACAGUAGUUCACUCUUCAACGGAGGACUGAUUCCAAGGAAAUGGAGGACAUGCUUUUGGAAUCACAGUGUCUUUGAACAGUAGAGCCAAUGCCUAUUUUAGAAAGGUCAGUCGUUUACAAUGAUUUUCCUUCUUUUCAAAUAGAGAUACAAUGCAACUUAGUCAUGUCAGUGA